GGACUUGUAAUUCAAUAGUAGAAUACGUGACUUUUAAUCACGCUACGAGGGAGCGUAACCCUCCAAGUCCA
rnacentral:tRNA from 2 species